CGAGCGGCUGAAUAGAGCCUGCUCGGCCCAAAGCUGCGGCAGUAGGAGUGGGGGAGAGAGAUAGACUGAAAAACUGCUGGGAAUGGGAAAGAAGGAACGGAACAAAAGCCGAGAAACAGACCGGUGGAUAAUGACACCAAAGCAAAAGUAGUCUUGCUCGUUAGGUUCUGAAAACCUCAUCAAGGUGUUUAAUUUCUUGAAAUAGGAUCUCUUUUUCUCUUACUUUUUUCUUCCCUUUCUUUCUUUUAUUCUUGUUGUUAAAAAGGAAGGGGUUUGUUCUAAGAAACCGAUAAAAGAAGUUUGUGAAGCUAAACAAGUAAAUAGUAACCAAAGGGUAAAAAGGUAAUGAAUGUAAUUUAGUUGAAAUCAAAACUAACCUAGCCUUUCUUGUUUAACUAAUUUGAACGCGCAGAAAGAGAUUGGCUCCUAUGUUAACUGUUAAAUUUCGUUUAACCCAAGAAUUUUAAAGAAUACUGAUGGAAAAUUUUGAUGCGAUGUUUUCAUUCUCCCUGUGUUAUUAAGAAAUUGUUUUCAGGUACUACUGAUAAUUAAGGCAGAGAAGCUGCAAUCUGGACCAAAGAGUGAAGUUGAAUUCACACCAAUAAGAUAAAAAACCUGAGGACUGAACUGUAACACCCAAAUCCAGUGAUACCAAAUGGACUCUUGAGCAGAGACCGGCGGUAAUGAACUGAGACAAUCCAAAUGACCCAAGGAAUUGAGCUAAGAAUCACUCCUGAGAAGUAAGACCAAGCCUGUAUCAGUAGUUUCAAGUCCUGCCUAGACAAGUUCUGAGACACUUUCGAUAUUCACCUUGGAAGGAAAACUCCUACUCCAAACAGGAGGACUGGGACUGUUUUGGUCGGGAAAUCCUUGUAUAUUUUUGCUUUUGCCUGUGAUUUGUACAAAAGAGGGGGGAGAACCACAACUUCCAUCAGUGCCACAUCAUAUACCUUGUCUAAAUCAUCCCAAUACGAGGCAUUCUAUCUGGAUUAAACAUAAGUGUUUAAAUUAGAGAAUAAUAGGUAUUGUGGUUCACAAAGUUAAGCCUGUCAUUGCAGGAUGUGUUAGGUGCCAAAUCUAUUAAGAAUAACUUAAAUGAUAACUUUCUUUUACAGAUGGGAAAUUACUAGUGCGUGUUGAGUGGGAAGCACCUGAGGAAUGAUGGGAAACUGCUGUUAAAAGCAAGUUUUAGGCUUAGAUAGGAAUUCUGAAUGAUAAGGAUAUGUUUCCUCUGGACAAGGCAAGAUAAACAAUGGGAGGAUCAAGCUGUGGAAAACAGGCUGUUAUCAGCAGCAGAAAAUGGAGAGCAAACUGUUAUCGACGAGCCGGUACCAGGACACUGGCAGGGAGGAAAGCCACCCUCACAGGAAGGAUAAGGGGGCCCAAGCCCUUGUCGGCCAAUAACCAUCUGCAGAAAGAAAACUAAACUCCAAAAUAAUGCCGAAAAAUGAUGACCAGCAAACUAUAUACUGACCAGCAAAAAAA